UCUUCGCCCUCCUGGCCCCGGGCGGACCCCACACUCUCGUAAGCACUUUAUGCCGUAUGUCAGCCCUACACACCCACCCUGCAAAACUCUUGUCCCGCGCGCUGCUUCCCGCCCUUGUCUCCUGAGAGCUUCCUGUCCCUCCCAGGUCUUGGGACUCCACCCCGACGUCGAGCCCAGGGCAGACGCAAAGCACAACUAGCUAGCCCCACUGUCUCCAGAUCCCCGGCAAAGUCUAGAAUAGGACGCGUCUCGGGACGACGGGGCGCGGCCAGCUCUCGGGAUCGCGAGGGGGCGAUCAUUGGGCGACACUGAAAUUAGCUCUGUCUGUGACUUUGGACAGCGGGCGGGUGAGCACGCGCGCCUCUCUGGAAGAGACGAUCAGAGUUGGGACCUGGAGCUACUCGAGGUGUCCCUAUUUCCCCUGCGGUGAGCGUUGGCGACUCUGCUGGCCGCAGGGCUGGACAGGGGUCAGGAGGCCGACCAGGAGGCGGGGCAGCCCCAGCCAAUGGGCCGGCCCGGGGCCGGUGACGCCACGGCCAAUGGCCCCGCAGCGCGGGACUUUCAAGUCGCUGUCUCCGCCCCGCCGCGGUGAAGACUGCGUCUAUAAAGUCGGCCGGCUUGGUCCCCGGUCAGGUCCCCGUCGCUCCUCGUCUCGGUGUGUCCCGUCUCCGCCAUGGCCCGUACGAAGCAGACCGCCCGCAAGUCUACCGGCGGCAAGGCCCCGCGCAAGCAGCUGGCCACCAAGGCUGCCCGCAAGAGCGCGCCGGCCACGGGCGGCGUCAAGAAGCCGCACCGCUACCGGCCCGGCACCGUGGCGCUGCGCGAGAUCCGGCGCUACCAGAAGUCGACCGAGCUGCUGAUCCGCAAGCUGCCGUUCCAGCGCCUGGUGCGCGAGAUCGCGCAGGACUUCAAGACCGACCUGCGCUUCCAGAGCUCGGCCGUCAUGGCGCUGCAGGAGGCGAGCGAGGCCUACCUGGUGGGGCUGUUCGAGGACACGAACCUGUGCGCCAUCCACGCCAAGCGCGUCACCAUCAUGCCCAAGGACAUCCAGCUGGCCCGCCGCAUCCGCGGGGAGCGGGCCUGAGCGCCACACCAAGGUUCCAUCCCACCAAAGGCUCUUUUCAGAGCCACCACGUGCGCCCGAAGGAGCUGUUCGCCUCCCUGUCCUUGGGUUUCUGUCUACUACGGUCAUGGGGAGAGUUCGGUUUCGGGGUGGUUGCGGAGCACUUAUGGGUGCUGUUUAAUUUUCUUUAGGUCUUGCACUUGUGGCCCUUUAAGGGUUCUUUCCAGGAAGGUUCCCAGAACAGCUGUUAAAAGAAACCCAGUAGCAUGCUCUUGGAACAAAUAGGCUUUAACAGUCAUGCAAAAGCGUUCUAUUGUGGCCCUUUAAGGGGUGUUUGUUGGAUUGAUUCUUUUUUUUUUUAAGCGAUUGUUGUGGGUUUUCUCAUUAGCCUCUUUAGUUUCCUAGUUUAAUCAGUCUACACCUUUUGCCUACCUGAGCAUCUUAAACCUGUGUCGUGUUUCAACUGGUAUUGCUGAUAUCGUUGGUGCUGAGAUGGGUAGGAGCGACUCGCCGUGAAGCAGUCGCUAAGGAAAACUUAGCAUCGCAGUCCAGGAGCUGAAGGAUCCGUUGUGUCAGCAUGACGAAGUAGCCUGUAUUGAUGAGUGCCACGCCCACCCACCACUGUCCAAUACUGGGUGUGCGCUAUGAUCUGGGUGGGAGAAGUAGUGCACCCGCCGCCUGAGUCUCCCUGAGCAUGUCGGGGAUUGCCGGCCUGAUUAAAUACUAUGUAAACCUUGGGGACCCAGCUCUAGCGAAUGGAGCCAGCCUUCCUAAACAAACUGAACGUACAGGACAUCUAUCUUUCAGCAACCUUGUAACCUCGCUAAGUUUCUAGACUUGUGAAGAUAAUUGUUGCUUCUUCCCUUUACUUCUAGGCAAUGUCUGGGGCCUGACUGUGCUCAUGAUCGGUGGUAAGUGGGCCACUAUCAGUAAUAUUCAGUGACACCUGCCUUCCCCUCUUCUUCCUGUGGACUUGAGGAAUUAGACCUCUUGUAGCCUCUUGGAACUCAAUAUUUAUUACUCUGGUUUGACCUUAUUCUGUGGCAAUUGGUUAGUUUCUCCCCCUUAUUUCCAUUUAAUUCACUUUAAAAUGCCAACCCAACUGCAAUAUAAUAUAAUAUAUACAUUAUAUAUCAGAGACUUUUCUGUGCAGAAAUAGACUCUGAAUGUCAAGGAAGGAUUUGCUAUUUCUUGGCCUGAGGAGGGUCUUCUGCAGGGGGUGGAUGUUGGACCUGAGACUCAGAUCAUAGUAAAUAACUCGGGUCAUUAUCAGGGACCUUGCCUCUUGUCUAUUGCCUAAACUUUUAGGAAAUCUUCCAGGAAGCAAACUUGAGCUUUGCCUAAAUCUUUGAGAAGUUACCAGUCCAAGGCUCUUUGAAUUGAAGACACUGGAGGUCAGUGACCCAGGGAAGCGCCCCGACCCUCCUCUUUCACCUCUGCCAUCUGAGAGCCCCCAGAGCUGGGAGGAGGAUUUGCAAUUAGCUCUGCUCCAAGUAAAAGUGGGAGACAAAGCCAGCCUGCUAACUGGGGUACGGGUCAGGGUCUUAGCCUGCACUCCAUCCGAUUCCUAAUCCCUUUGAUCAUUGACACCUGAGACUCACUGAUGAGUGGAGAAACUGAAGCAGAAAUACUUUUUAAAAAUACUAUGCCUUUGAAAUGAGUGAAUAAAGGGGGAAACUGAGGACUGGGACUCCGGUCACUCCCUCCUGACAGUGACAGUUUUCAGCCCUACCCUGGGUGCCCCAAUAUGGAACUAGAACCUUGAUAUCAGUGAUUACAGUAUUACAACACUGUGCCUAUUACAAAGUGGUGAUGUAGGUGAGUAUUAGAACACACAGGGCUGGCGGGAAUGCAGUAAGAAGGUGCCCGGCUGCGAGCCAGGGAGAAAUGCUCAGAGAACCAGUAUGUCCAGUCUCCAGAGUCGUGAGAAAUUGUCUUCUGAUUAAACUACCCAAAAUGUGAUGUUUUGUUGGAGUGGCCUGCUAUGGUUUGAAUAUGGUUUGAGAUGUGUUUCCUAGAAUUUUCUGUGUCCAAAGUUAUGUCAUUCAAAAGUCUCCAGAAUGGCUUUGUUGAGGUUGGGGGAAUCUUAAAUCGGUAGUGUAGUGCAGUAUUAUUGGGGCGUGAGGACAUCAUUCUCAGAAUUAAUUGAUGUAUGCCCUCAGGAGAUAGUUCUUAAAAAGCUGGUUAUCCUAAAAGAGAGACCAUCCUAUCUGCUUGGCCUUUCUGCACGUCAGAAGGUCCCUUCCUGUUUCUGUGCUGUAUCGUAAUGCAGUCAAGUUCCAUGCUGUUCUGAGUCCCCAGAAUUGCAAGCCAACUAUACAGCUUUAUAAAGAAUUUGGAUGUUUUGUUAUAGCAGGAGACUAUAAACAAACAGAAUCCUGGCCAACUUAUCCAGCUCAUUAGUUUCUGUUCAGGGCCUCGUUUCCUGCUCAGAGCCACAGUGGAUGAUUGGGUCCUUCCAACCUAUGUUCAGAUAUAAAGCUGAAAGUUUAGCAGAGGCUUAGAGCUGCGGAGAGACAGCACUUUGCACCCAUCAUCUUAUUGAACUUUGCUUCAAAGGUUGAGCCCCAAAGGUCUCAGAAUGAGUGACUUUUUGGAACAUUAAAACUAUCAGUGGCUAAGCAGACCCAUAAGCUUGCAGAUUUGCACCAUGACAUGAAACCAAGGCAAAUUUAACAGCAAAAUGCCAACCAAUUUAGAUCCCAAAGAUAGCCAAGAUCACUCCACCCACACCAGAAAUCUGUGUGACAACAGUCUGUACAUGUCAUGUUCUAAGGCAUGGGAUCCUAGCUUAGUGGGAACAGCUACGACCUGCCUUUCCUGUCUCACGGUAGGGCCACUUCACUCCAUUCUGUGACUUGUGAGUCAAACUUGCUUGCCAAACUCAGACUGCAGGAUGCAGGAGAGAGUGGAAAAGGAAGGGGAGGGGUAUUUUACUGGGCAGUGCAGGACCUGGCCUCUUGGCAGAUACAGGACCCUGGAAGCCUUCUCCUUUUAAACUUUUCUGGCUUCCUACCAAAGGUGAGUUUUUGAGGUCAGUGACUUACCUACCUCACAGUCUCUCUUCCGAGACUGCUACCCAACAGCUGUGGGCUUUGGCCAUGAAUGAGUUCAGCCAUGUUCUCCACUCAGCAGCCCUAAGAUUGGUCUUUCACAGGGGAAGGAAAGAGUUGACAGUACAAACGAGUGUGUGCUUACUUUCGAAGGAUAUAACGGAUGAUUUGACCAAAUUCCUCUUAUCCAACCUGGAACCAGGCUUCCCCAGGACACUGCUGCCUAAUAUAGCAGCCACCUCAGGGACAGCACACACACACACAACACUCUCCAACCCCAAACAUCCCAGAGCUGGAUGGAGCAACAGAAUGUGGCUCUUACUGUGGCCUGAGAAGACCAGGAGGAAUUCUCCAGAGCUUUAGGGCUUCCUCAACUGCCUCCGGCAAUGUGAUGGCAGCACUCAGACUUCCCAUUCCUGCCGCUGUCCUCCAUUCUUACCACUGCCUUUGACAGGCUGUCUUAGGCCUAAUGAAACAUUUGCUGUGUCGUUUUGGUUUGAGAAACCAGGACAAAGUAGUAACAGGUUUUUACUGUCAGUAUCAAAACAUAGGACCUGAUGCUCUUCCAGAGAACCCAAACUGGGUUCCCAGCACCUAAGGACCUGAUCAGGAAGCUCACAACCACCUGUAACUUCUGUAACAGAAGAUUCAAUGCCCUCUACUGGCUUCCGGACACACACGUGUGGCAUAUUGUUACACACACACACACACACAUAUACAUAAAUAAAAAGUAAUAAUGAGCCAAGUACAAAAGGAGUGCUCCACUUUCAGAUCAGGCAACACACACACACACACACACACACAUACACAAAAUAGCUACAAAGAAUUCAGUCUCUUAAAUUCUCCUAACAGAGCAGGCCAGAUGGCUCAGGAG